CCUACGGGAGGCAGCAGUGGGGAAUAUUGGGCAAUGGGCGCAAGCCUGACCCAGCAACGCCGCGUGAAGGAAGAAGGCCUUCGGGUUGUAAACUUCUUUUCUGAGGGACGAAGAAAGUGACGGUACCUCAGGAAUAAGCCACGGCUAACUACGUGCCAGCAGCCGCGGUAAUACGUAGGUGGCAAGCGUUAUCCGGAUUUACUGGGUGUAAAGGGCGUGUAGGCGGGAAAGUAAGUCAGAUGUGAAAACUCAGGGCUCAACGCUGAUCCUGCAUUUGAAACUGUUCUUCUUGAGUGCUGGAGAGGCGAUCGGAAUUCCGUGUGUAGCGGUGAAAUGCGUAGAGAUACGGAGGAACACCAGUGGCGAAGGCGGAUUGCUGGACAGUAACUGACGCUGAGGCGCGAAAGCGUGGGGAGCAAACAGGAUUAGAUACCCGGGUAGUC
rnacentral:rRNA from 1 species